rnacentral:rRNA from 1 species
UACAGAGGGUGCAAGCGUUGUUCGGAAUUAUUGGGCGUAAGGCGGCGUAGGAGCGGUGCCAUAAGUCACCUGUGAAAUCUCCGGGCUUAACUCGGAGCCUGCAGGCGAAACUGUGGUGCUGGAGUGUGGGGAGAGGUGCGUGGAAUUCCCGGUGUAGCGGUGAAAUGCGUAGAUAUCGGGAGGAACGACCUGUGGCGAAAGCGGCGCACUGGACCAUAACUGACGCUGGAUGACGCGAAAGCGUAGGGGAGCAAACACGG